rnacentral:lncRNA from 1 species
UAGGAUGGGAAGAAGUGCGCAUUGGCCAUCAUGAGGAGAUUAAAGCCACCCAAGUCACCCGGCGGGCAGCAGUGCGAGUUCCUCACUACUCACCCAGCGUUGUGGAUUCCCAAAUGAAAGACACACACACACACACACACACACACACACACACAGCCUUAUAUUUAAUAUGCCUUAAUCGGCUCAAUGGUUGAGCCACUCCCAAACUUCCACGUUGCUAACACCUCCCCUCCGAUACCCCUGAGUUAUUACUAAAAUCUAUAUUCCAUUCUUGUUACCCUAGACCACUCUGCCUUCUGCAGCUCUCAAGGUCGCAAGCCUGCAUCUCAUUCCUUUCCUGACUUGGCGAUUCUAAAUCCUCCUUCUCUCCUUCCCCUUGCCUGCAAAUCCUAAAGUCCCGCCUCUGUCUCUUUGACCAGCCAAUUGGCUGCUGGCAACUUAAUUUACCAAUCAGAACUAACUGGGGCCUUACAUGAGGGAUUCUCAUGCAACUUUGGGAACCCAAAUAACAUUAUGCAAGCUUUAGGCCAAAUCCACCACACCUAGGAUUGUCUUUUGCUGGUUGGUUAUGAGCUUCUGAGGGUGAUGUCUCUCCUACCACAUGCAGUCUCUGCCAGACCCUCAGUCUCUGCCGGAGAGGCGAUAGUCGCUCUAUCACUACACAAGCCCAUUCUUAACAGAAAGGCUCUGUUCACUUGAAGUGAAAAGGAAGAGAAUGGUUUUGAAUUACUGUGACCCCUAUGUAGGUCAGUGGUCCACUACUCAAGAACCGAUUAUCCAGCUUAAGGCCUCUUCCUGCUCCCGAGUUUCCCCCCUUGUUGGCUGCCUAGUAUUUACACUCUUGGCUGUCACCUUCCAAAGGGGGUUAUUAGAGGAAAAGAAAAAAGGUAAUAUUCAAAAUAAAAUUUCAAUAAAUGAUCCUUCAAGCACCUGUUUUGUGACAGACAGAGAGAGUAACUGGGGGCCAUAGAGAGUAAGAGAGAGCCCUGCUUGUGGGUUGCUAGACAAAUGCUGGAUUAAGGAUGUGUAUGCACACACACAUACACACACACAAUACACACACACACAUACACACACACAUAUACACACACACAAUACACACACACACCAAACACACAUACACA